rnacentral:piRNA from 1 species
UAUCAUAGUUUUGAUGUCAAGC